rnacentral:misc_RNA from 1 species
AGUUUUAUGUUAUUUGAAGUUUGAAAGAAUAUUCACAUUUUGAUGUUGAAUUUUUUUUUUUUGUUUUUUGCGCGUCACCUCACUCAAGCUCGUGCCUGUGCCUUGCGCCUAGGCUCUAGAACCCCUGGGCCCCUUUGUGCGCCGUGAGCCUUUAAUAACUAUUAUAUGAUGUAAUUUACACUCACCCAAACUGAAUAUAACUGCUUAGCUAUGCAUUUCUAGUUGGUAAUUUCAGUGCAGAUUCUUGCCUAAGAUCAAAAUAAUAGAAAUAAUCAUUGGAACAUGAACUAGAUGCCUAUGACAAACAUUUCAGACCUCUUAUCUUAAAUUCUAUCUGAAAUCUGGCAGUUAUAAAUGUUUUAAUGAGCAUCACAACACAAGCAGUUCAUUAAUUAUUUCUAAAUAUCCUUCUUGGACUUUCAUUGAUUGUUUUCCUUUUCUUAAUCCAUGUUCCAAUAUCAAAAUUCCACAUUUAGGUGGUCCACAGUUUCUCUUCAAGC